CUGCAACUGAAAUAGGUUAUUAAACAUUUGCUAAGGAAAAAAAAAAAAAACAUUUGCUAAGGACCAGGAAUUAUACUAAAUGGAUUGCCAAAAUGGCACUUAAUCUCCAAGGUCUGGAGGAGUGGAGGCUUGAAGAGGUGAUUCACCUUUCCCAAAGUCACACUGCCCCAAAGUGACAGCUGGAAUUCCAAUCCUGCGCUACCUGAUGCAAAAAACCCAUGCAUGCACUUGGCUGCUUUCUCAUAUCUCUCCUGGCAACCUAUAAAUCUCAAUUCUUUCCAGCUCCUGCCCUUUCUCCUUUGAGACCUGGGUUUGGGCUUAAUGGAGUUUCCACUCUUUUAUGCAGUCUUUGAUAUAAAAUAUUCCAGAAGCUGGUAUGUGCAAUUCACUGGGAUUGGGAAUCUUGUUAAAGAAAGAUUUUAAAACUUAUUUUCAACACUUAAUAACAUUCCACACAGAGCCCCCAUAUAAUGACACAAUACAGUAGUAGGGAAACAUUCAGGUGUUCAAGCUCGAUUCUCCAGAUCCAAGUGUGAUAAGAGAGACUCUGAUGAGAGUAUGGUCAUCAUUGCUGUAGAGCAUUAUACAAGCACAUGUCACACAUGGCUCCUGUUCCACAGGGACAUGGGACAAUUUACACGCUCCACCCCUGCCCUGGUCUUAUUCACCUCUCUCCUGUCACUGCUUGGGAUCAGCACCCGCUCAGAAUAUGGCUUCUAAUGUUACAUAUCCACUAAAACCAGAGGGCUUCUGUCUCUGACCUGCUUAAGUUUUCAAGGUCAAUGGAAACAUCUUCCUUUGGAGUACUGGUCUCCCAAGGCAAAAAUAGUCACUUUGUUUCCAGAAACAAAAUUACCCUCACAUGUACUGGGUUGGAAUGACAAGAAGGGCAAUAGUGCAGGAUACAUCACAAGGCAGAACCAGGUGGCCCUCUGCCUAGCCCUCUACAUGUGCCCAGGUGCCAUUCUGGGCUUUAUUGAGAAAUCCCUGACCUCUGAAAUCUUAGCAAUAUGUACCUUUUCUUCUUCUCCUGAGAUCAGAGCUUUGCUCAACUCCUGAAUAUCCAGAGUCUGGGAGGUGAACAGAUGUGAACAAUCACUUACCAAGGAUGGUAUAUUAGGUCAUUGUGAUAGAAAUUAAAACAAUGACGGACCACCAGAUUUCUAUUAACGUGCAUAAAAUUUGAUAUGAUGACAGCAUCAGAUGCUGCUAUGCAUGUGGGUCAGCAGGACACUCCAUUACUGGUGGUAACGCCAAAUGUCUCUGCCAAUUUGGAAGAUGCCUUGGCAGUUUCUUACAAAGAUAAGAUGGUGCAUGAUACAAUAAAGAAAACACAUCCCCAUGUAUUUCCUGAAAUGAGUUACUUUCAUCCACACAAGAAUAUACACAUAUGUUUAUUGCUCAUUUAUUUGAUGGUCAAGACUUGAAAGCAACCAUCAGGUCCUUCCAUAGGGGAAUGGAUCAACAAGCUCUAGUACAAAAAAAAAAAAAAAAAGCUCUAGUAUAUCCAUACUCUGAAUAUGAUUCAGUGAUGAAAAGUCUUGUGUUAUCAGAAAAAAAAAAAAAAAAAAGGUUUGUGUUAUCGGGAUGCCUGGAUGGCUCAGCGGUUGAGGGUCUGCCUUUGGCCCAGGCCAUGAUCCCGGAGUCUUGGGAUUGCGUCCUGCAUAAUGCUUCCUGCAUGGAGCCUGCUUCUCCCUCUGCCUGUGUGUCUGCCUUUCUCUCUCUGUGUGUCUCUGGAAUAAAUAAAUAAAAUCUUUUAAAAAAUAUAUUCAACACUUAUUUUUUCCUAAAGAAUAUCUGAAAAUGAGACUACCUGGGUCAAAGUUAAAGCAAUAAUCUGCAUAGAAUGUCUAAAGGUCUUGGAUUAUUAACAUAGCAAUGGUGCCCUCUAGUGUAUCAUGUAUUACACAUUCCUUGGUUGGGGAUGAGAGCAGUCUGGAUUUAAGUAGGUGGCUUCCUACUGAAAAUCUGGAUGAACAAUAAGCCUCCCCUAGGCUUAAUCACCUUAGCUCCUCAAACCCCCACCCACUGAUACCAAUUCCAGAGGCAAGGUCACAGAUACAUGGUGCAGCAACUUAUCACAGUUCGGAGUGCCACUGACCAAGACACAAGGUCCCAAUAACCCACAGUGAGAUUGCCAAGAUUGAACCACCUACUGCCAAUCUCCAGGAUCACUUUCUUAUUGAUCUCAAUAGGCGAAUCCAUCAUUUCCUGUUAUAACGCCUCUCUCUUUUCUGGAGGUUGUGGCUUAAACGAUACCCACCCUUUCCACACAUGCACAUGCACUGGGUCAUCUCAAGGAUGGUAAGGUAUUAAGAAAAUGUCAUUAACAUUAAUGUUUGUCAUUAAUUGAGAAAGACUGAGCUGAUGUUCAAGGAUAAGUAUAAACUAACACCUGAAUAUUUAUUUUGAGGAUUAAUUCAAACUCUCUUGGGUAGGAAACGUCAACCAAGAGAGCAUCCCAGAUCGGUCCAUUCUGCCUCUUCCCAGUAACCAAGGAUAUGGCAGAGAUUAUUAUUUACAUCCACGCCCACCCCCACUGCUUGUGUAAGAUGAGGAAAUAACAGCCGACCUAAUUGCCCCAGGUGGACAGGAGUUGAGCUAAUAAAAGUCAAGGGCUAAAAGGAGAGGACAGUGGUGGCAGCCCUGAAGUUCCCAUGGUGAAUUGCGGCUAAAAACAAAUCAGGAUAAAACGCCUUACCUGAUGUGUGAUGCCCACAAGAUCUCAGGAGUAACAUAGCUUGGGUUAAACGCUGCAAAAUUUGGAUUCAGAAAACCUGGGUUCAAAGCCUCCUCUUCAGCCUCUAGCUAUGUGAUCAGGCGAUAUAUGGUCUCCAUUUCUGCAUCUGUAAAACAGCAGUGAC
rnacentral:lncRNA from 1 species